rnacentral:lncRNA from 1 species
GUGGUCAUUAACUUAGCUUUUCAUAUAUCAUUUUCAUGCUCCUUUAAGCACUGCAUGAGCAUGCUGUUAGUAACUCCUAAUAGCCUGCUGAUUGGUUCCAUGGUCAGUUACUGUACUCUAUAUACUCCCGUCUUUUCACCUCUAUCUAUCCUUAGGGUCUUUGUCAUUCCUCAGUCUAUGAAAAAUUGUCGGAGGCCUAGUUACUGUUAUUCUCUUACCAGCUUUUUUGGCUACUCUCCUUUUGAAGCACAUGUUGUUAUACAGACUGAGAUGUAGGUUAACUUUAGAGAUGGCGGGUCCCUGUCUGUACGUUGGACGAUUAGUGUUCUUCUAACAGAGUUUAGUAUCCAGCUUAAGAAAGUGUUACCAUAUCCAUGCUGGCAACCUACUUUAAAGAUGUAGUCUAUUUCAGCCUUCAGGUCAAUUUUAUUCAUUGAAUAUAAUU